GACGAACGCUGGCGGCGUGCUUAACACAUGCAAGUCGAACGGAAAGGCCCUGCUUUUGUGGGGUGCUCGAGUGGCGAACGGGUGAGUAACACGUGAGUAACCUGCCCUUGACUUUGGGAUAACUUCAGGAAACUGGGGCUAAUACCGGAUAGGAGCUCCUGCUGCAUGGUGGGGGUUGGAAAGUUUCGGCGGUUGGGGAUGGACUCGCGGCUUAUCAGCUUGUUGGUGGGGUAGUGGCUUACCAAGGCUUUGACGGGUAGCCGGCCUGAGAGGGUGACCGGCCACAUUGGGACUGAGAUACGGCCCAGACUCCUACGGGAGGCAGCAGUGGGGAAUAUUGCACAGUGGGCGGGAGCCUGAUGCAGCAACGCCGCGUGCGGGAUGACGGCCUUCGGGUUGUAAACCGCUUUCGCCUGUGACGAAGCGUGAGUGACGGUAAUGGGUAAAGAAGCACCGGCUAACUACGUG
rnacentral:rRNA from 1 species